rnacentral:lncRNA from 1 species
GGGGAAUAUCUAUUAAGAAAAACAUGACCUUGUAAAAGGUUGUUCAAUUGACCUCUAUAGGUUAUAUAUAUAUAUAUAUAUACAUGUUUACAUUCAGACCAGGUGGUGACAUGUAGCAAUUAGUUAAAACACGAGAAAUACGUGCAUUCUUUGACCAUCAAUCUCCAGGUUGGUCAAAUUUACAUGUCAAAACAUGUCAUUUAGAGAC